ACACAUGCAGUCGACGGUAACAGGAAGCAGCUUGCUGCUUCGCUGACGAGUGGCGGACGGGUGAGUAAUGUCUGGGAAACUGCCUGAUGGAGGGGGAUAACUACUGGAAACGGUAGCUAAUACCGCAUAACGUCGCAAGACCAAAGUGGGGGACCUUCGGGCCUCAUGCCAUCAGAUGUGCCCAGAUGGGAUUAGCUUGUUGGUGGGGUAACGGCUCACCAAGGCGACGAUCCCUAGCUGGUCUGAGAGGAUGACCAGCCACACUGGAACUGAGACACGGUCCAGACUCCUACGGGAGGCAGCAGUGGGGAAUAUUGCACAAUGGGCGCAAGCCUGAUGCAGCCAUGCCGCGUGUAUGAAGAAGGCCUUCGGGUUGUAAAGUACUUUCAGUGAGGAGGAAGGCAUGAUGCUUAAUACGCAUCGUGAUUGACGUUACUCACAGAAGAAGCACCGGCUAACUCCGUGCCAGCAGCCGCGGUAAUACGGAGGGUGCAAGCGUUAAUCGGAAUUACUGGGCGUAAAGCGCACGCAGGCGGUCUGUUAAGUCAGAUGUGAAAUCCCCGGGCUCAACCCGGGAACUGCAUUUGAAACUGGCAGGCUUGAGUCUCGUAGAGGGGGGUAGAAUUCCAGGUGUAGCGGUGAAAUGCGUAGAGAUCUGGAGGAAUACCGGUGGCGAAGGCGGCCCCCUGGACGAAGACUGACGCUCAGGUGCGAAAGCGUGGGGAGCAAACAGGAUUAGAUAUGCGGUGGAUA
rnacentral:rRNA from 1 species